AUUGAACGCUGGCGGCAGGCCUAACACAUGCAAGUCGAGCGAGCGGCGGACGGGUGAGUAAUGUAUGGGGACUGCCCGAUAGAGGGGGAUAACUACUGGAAACGGUAGCUACUACCGCAUACUAUCGGAUAACCCAUAUGGGAGUAGCUAGUAGGUGAGGUAAUGGCUCACCGAGGCGACGAUCCCUAGCUGGUCUGAGAGGAUGAGCAGCAAAACGGGGACGGAGACACGGCCCAGACUCCUACGGAGGCGGCAGGGGGGAAGAUGGCACAAUGGGCGCAAGCCUGAUGAAGCAAUGCGGCGUGGAUGAAGAAGGCCUCAGGGUUGUAAAGUACUGUCAGUCGGGAGGCGUUACCGACAGAAGAAGCACCGGCUAACUCCGUGCCAGCAGCCGCGGUAAUUC
rnacentral:rRNA from 1 species